CAGCCGCGGGAAUACGAAGGGUGCAAGCGUUACUCGGAAUUACUGGGCGUAAAGCGUGCGUAGGUGGUGGUUUAAGUCCGUUGUGAAAGCCCUGGGCUCAACCUGGGAAUUGCAGUGGAUACUGGGUCACUAGAGUGUGGUAGAGGAUAGUGGAAUUUCCGGUGUAGCAGUGAAAUGCGUAGAGAUCGGAAGGAACAUCUGUGGCGAAGGCGACUAUCUGGGCCAACACUGACACUGAGGCACGAAAGCGUGGGGAGCAAACAGGAUUAGAUACCCCCGUAGUCCCUGUCUCUUAUACACA
rnacentral:rRNA from 1 species